rnacentral:rRNA from 1 species
UAAGGAAUAUUGGUCAAUGGACGCAAGUCUGAACCAGCCAUGCCGCGUGAAGGAUGAAGGUCCUCUGGAUUGUAAACUUCUUUUAUCUGGGACGAAAACGGGAUUUUUAUCUCAAUUGACGGUACCAGAGGAAUAAGCACCGGCUAACUCCGUGCCAGCAGCCGCGGUAAUACGGAGGGUGCGAGCGUUAUCCGGAUUUACUGGGUUUAAAGGGUGCGUAGGUGGGCUUAUAAGUCAGUGGUGAAAUCUCCGAGCUUAACUUGGAAACUGCCGUUGAUACUAUAGGUCUUGAAUAUUGCGGAGGUAAGCGGAAUAUGUUAUGUAGCGGUGAAAUGCUUAGAUAUGACAUAGAACACCAAUUGCGAAGGCAGCUUACUACACAAUCAUUGACACUGAGGCACGAAAGCGUGGGUAGCGAACA